GGUUGCGAUCAUACCAGCACUAAUGCACCGGAUCCCAUCAGAACUCUACAGUUAAGCGUGUUUGGGCGAGAGUAGUACUAGGAUGGGUGACCCCCUGGGAAGUCCUCGUGUUGCAACCC
rnacentral:rRNA from 1 species